GAUUAGUGAGGGUUUUAGAUCUGAAGCUACAAUUUCCAUCUUUUUAAUUUCAAUCCUUCUGCUUCAAUGUUCAGGCUGACGAUCCUCCUGGCGGUCCUAAUAGCCAGUUAUUCCAGCAACUGCUCAAACUCUUUCUGUGAAGAAACCUAGACAGAUAACUCCGGGUUUCAGUAAAAAAAGCCACAAAUUGGGAAUUUUAGUAAUCUUAACCAACUUCUUGAUGUAUUUUUUAAUCUGAUUAUUGUGGUGUCAGAUCAAUCUUUGGUACACCUCCUACGAGCAAUGAACAAGAAUUAUCAGGUAUUUUGAGUUUGAGGCAAAGCAUGGUCACUAUUUGGAAAAAAGGAACACAAAGGUUGCAAAGAACUAAGAAAUGAAGUCCUGAAGAUCUUUGAGUCCACACAACAAGUCUCCAUCAGGCAUGAAGAUCGCCUUUUGUUCCAGUGUGAUAACCCUAGAAGUAAGGGAUCAAAACGAAUUGAAAAGAAGUAAUGAGUAGUUCUAAGUCACCUAAUGAUCUAAAACACCACGAUGCUGAAGCAUAGAGCUUGCCAGCAAUAAAACCUACCAAAGGGCAAAUUGUCAAGUUGAUCAGUGAUAUGGACUAACUACGCUGAGUGAUCCGCUACUACACAAAUCUUUGAAAACUAUAAAUACUCGUUUAGAGUUGUAGCUUGGUAUCAGACUUUUUACUUAGAACUUUAGAUAUAAAAUUUUUACUCCUAUUUUUGAGUUCUAUGUUUGGAGCGGGUUUUGAAGUAAUUGAAGAUUCAAAGAGUUUAAUCUCUAUGAAUUUUGGCUUGGGUCUUUUGAAUUCUUCAUUGUUGGUUUGUAUCAAGACUUAACUUUUUAUACCCAUUAUAAUGCAAACUCAAUUUGGUAUAAAAA